AUCAACCGCACGAGUCCUAAAUGGGACGAAACGCGUGUCCUGGAU
rfam:Schistosoma rodhaini strain Burundi genome assembly, scaffold: SROB_scaffold0003249